CUUUAAGACUUGUGGACUUCAACUCCCAGAAUUCCUCUUCCAGUCAGCUCAGGAAUUCUGGGAGUUGAAGUCCACGAGUCUUAAACUGGCCAAGUAUGAAGGCCCUUGGUUUAGGGCAUAUAGGACGGGGGGCAAUGAAGCACACAUUUCCCCCUCCCCCUUCCCCCCAAUUAUUAGAUCCAUGGGACAGAGACCUGGGAGGAAAGCAGCCAGCCAUCAUGAAGUUCAGGAGUGUUACAGUUUAAGCAUGAAGAAAAGAUAAGAUAAGAUAAGAUAAAAUACUUGAAAAGACAAAAGAAAGAGAGGUAAAAUAAUCCAUCUGUAUAACAAAUGUCAGGGAAUUGAUAUGCAGCAAGUUGCCAUUGUCAAAGCUGAAAAUAUUCAAGUGCAGAACAAGUCAGCACAGAGACACACAGAGAGAGAGAGAAUCCAGGAGAUGGCAGCAUUAACUUGCUGACCAUGAUUGAUAUUUCCCAGAGAGGAAGAAAACAUAGAGCUAAGAAGGACAGAAUUGUAUGUUUGAAUCCACCCUGUAAGGAAGAAGGGAAGCCUCUCCUUUCGGUAAAUCUGGCUUCGUGCAAUUCAUGCUACGGAAUUCAGCAUGUAGGGCAGUUACAGGAGCCACCGAGGUUGCAGAAAGACCGAACCAAUAUAAAAAGGGAUGGAGUGAUUUGGUCGUCCAUCUAUGCUUCCAGCAGAAUGAAGACUUUAGCGGGUUGGCAUGUUUUUAAAUACUACAAAGUGAGGACAGCAUCUCUGGAUACUUCUCCUGUGG